rnacentral:rRNA from 1 species
GACGUAGGGUGCGAGCGUUGUCCGGAUUUAUUGGGCGUAAAGAGCUCGUAGGCGGCUCGUCGCGUCGACCGUGAAAACCCGCGGCUUAACUGCGGGCUUGCGGUUGAUACGGGCGGGCUAGAGUUCGGUAGGGGAGACUGGAAUUCCUGGUGUAGCGGUGAAAUGCGUAGAUAUCUGGAGGAACACCGGUGGCGAAGGCGGCAUCCUGGACCAAUUCUGACGCUGAGGAGCGAAAGCCAGGGGAGCAAACGGG